rnacentral:rRNA from 1 species
CGACCUCAUAUCAGACAAGAUUACCCGCUAAAUUUAAGCAUAUUAUUAAGCGGAGGAAAAGAAAGCAAAAGCGAUUUCCCAAGUAACGGCGAGUGAACAGGAAUAAGCCUAGCGCUUAGGCUCAAUAGGGCUUCUUCUAUUGAGCGGUGCAGCGUUACAAACUGCAAUGUUUAGUUUCAUCGUGUUAGUAGGAUUUACGUCCUGCUAGCUUUAGCCGAGCAUGCAAGUUCCAUUGACUUGGACUAAUCGCAUAUGGCUACUUAUUUGGGGCAACUUGAAUAAGUAGUUUAGCCAAAGUGGGUGAAAGCCCCAUACCGUGCAGGCAUUGAUGUUACGAAUUGCAGAGGGUUAGUGUAAAAGCUAGCUCGAUUUGUUAGAGUCAAGUUGCUUGAGAGUGCAACUUAAAGAGCGAGGUAAACUACUCGUAAGGCUAUGCAAUAUCGCUACGACACCGAUAGCAAACAAGUACCGUGAGGGAAAGUUGAAAUAGAACUUUGCAGAGAGAGUUAACAGGGCGUGAAACCGUUAAUUGGCAAACGAAUCGGAGCCACGAAGUCGUUUCGUUGAUAGUUUGGCUGAGUUCAGUGUUUAUGAGGUUGCACAAAUUUCGUAAGCGCGUACUCUCAAGUUGAACCAUCUUUGUAAGCGUACACUGCAACCAGUUAGACGAUUAUCUAUGGGCCCAGUAGGCUUGGUGUAGCGCAAGCUAUGCCCUGUUUACGAAGCAUUUGUUUAUUGCGGGAGGUAGUAAGCUGGCUCUGUGAAUGCAGGUGUCCGGUUUGCUGGCUCGUAGUAAGUGAGCUAUUGAUAAAUACUGACUGGCGAAAUGAAAAUCACCUUCAUUUGAAGUGUGUUGUAUAGACAAGGCGCUGGCGGCGCGUGCUGUUACGCAGUUGGCGCGUAAGUUUUUAAAGUUCGAUGCUUUUGAAUUUAGACUUGCAUGCUAUCAACGGGGCAACUCUUGGUGCAUGUAUAGCUUCUAUCUAAUCGGGUAUUGACUUGGCUUGCGUGAAAGUCAGCUGUGAAUCGUUUGGCGGCAUGCGUCAGUUAGUUGCAAUUUGAAUUGGCAGUGAGUAGGUCGGCUUUCCGAACGACCCGUCUUGAAACACGGACCAAGGAGUCUAGUUAGGCAUCGAGUCGAUCGGUCUUGAAUAGGCCAGCUUGUGACAGCAACUUUUGUUGUUGUGCUCAGAAGGCGUAGAGAAAUCAAAUUUCAUGUGAUCUUGUGGCAAAUACCCAUGCUGCGAGCGCAACAUGUGCCUGCUCGUGUGCCAUUGUUGCAACGUUAAUGUUGAGGUUAAACAUACUUUGGCUGUUGUUAACAUGGUGGGCGGAGUAAAGAGAUGCUUGACUGGUACCCGAAAGAUGGUGAACUAUGCUUGGGCAAAUUGAAGCCAGAGGAAACUCUGGUGGAGGAUUGUAGCGAUUCUGACGUGCAAAUCGAUCGUCAGACCUGAGUAUAGGGGCGAAAGACUAAUCGAACCAUCUAGUAGCUGGUUCCCUCCGAAGUUUCCCUCAGGAUAGCUAGCGUUCGUAUUGUGAUUAGUUUCAUCUGGUAAAGCGAAUGAUUAGAGGAAUCGGGAGCGAAACGCUCUCGACCUAUUCUCAAACUUUAAAUGGGUGAGAUGUGUGACAUGCUUAAGUGAUGUUGCAUUUCAUAGAAUAAAUUGAGCGCUAAGUGGGCCAUUUUUGGUAAGCAGAACUGGCGAUGCGGGAUGAACCGAAAGUCAAGUUAAAGUUGCAAAUAAUAGUAGCGACUUGCUACAGGCUACACUCAUGAGAUCCCAUAAAAGGUGUGACCCGCUGAAGACAGCAAGGAUGUGGCCAUGGAAGUCGGAAACAUCUAAGGAGUGUGUAACAACUCACUUGCCGAAGCGCGUCGCCCUGAAAAUGGAAGCAGCUUGAGUGUUGAACUUAUACUUGACCGUUGGAAUAUAAAUUGUUUGGUAUAAACGAUUAGUUAUGUUUCAACGUGUAGGAGGGUUGUGUUGGUGGCGUUGAAGGGUAUGAGGGAGUGAUCCUGCCUGGAGCCGCCAAUAGUACAGAUCUUGGUGGUAGUAGCAAAUACUCAAGUGAGACCCUUGAGGGCCAAUGUGGAGAAGGGUUCCAUGCUAACAGCAAUUGAACAUGGGUCAGUCGGUCCUAAGAGAAUGGCGAAAGCUAUUUCUGAAUCAAAGGCGGUGUAAGCAAACGCAAAUUUAAUCAAACAUGAGAGUGUGUUGAAAAUACGGCGGAUUUAUAUAAAAAAGGCACGCAAACGCGAAUGAAAAAUCAAACGCACGUUUUCAAACAAAACGCGAGUCUAAUUUUUCAAACAUUAUGUCUGCGCGCCAAUAAAUCGCCAACACACACAAACAUAUAUGUGCGAUCAAAAUAUCACCGUAUGACUCGAAAGGGAAUUAGGUUAAUAUUCCUAAACCAAGAUGGGGAGAUUAUUGGACGUUUGCAUUUCGGUGUGAGCGUACGAUAUUGGCGGUAACGCAAACAAGCGUGUCGACGCCGACGUCAGAAUGAGGAAGAGUUGUCUUUUCUUUCUAAGUUUACUUAGUUUUUAACGAGUCCUUGGAAUCGAAUCACUCGAAGAUAAGGAUGUAGUAAACGUAAAAUCAUACGGUUCUAGUAUGAUCUCAAUUUCUGAUGCCGGCCCUUGAAAAGACACGUACGCGGAGCGUUGUUUGCUGGCUAGCUCGUCUAGUCACUUGCAGCGUGUUGAUUCUCCCACUUGGCCGUACCAAUAUCCGCAUCAGGUCUCCAAGGUUAGCAGCCUCUGGUCACUUAGGAUAAUGUAGGUAAGGGAAGUCGGCAAAUUAGUUUCGUAACUUCGGGAAAAGGAAUGGCUCUGAGGGCUGAGUUGGUCGGGCCGUUGGUUCGGUAUUAGUUAUGAGCUUAUUUGUGCUGGACUUUGUAAGGCGUCAAAACCAAACGAUAUUCGGCGCAGAUAUCUCAACUAGUAUUGGCUGCGGCUGCCUUCAAGUGGUGCAAGCUGCUUGAGUUAAGGGUUAUCGGUCAACAAUUAACAGCCGAAUCAGAACUGGCACGGACUCCGGGAAUCCGACUGUCUAAUUAAAACAAAGCAUUGCGAAGGUCGUAGCCGAUGUUGACGCAAUGUGAUUUCUGCCCAGUGCUUUGAAUGUUAUGCUUUCGAAAGGAAGGUAAGCGCAAGUAAACGGCGGGAGUAACUAUGACUCUCUUCUGGUAGCCAAAUGCCUCGUCAUCUAAUUAGUGACGCGCAUGAAUGGAUUAACGAGAUUC